UACGAAGGGGGCUAGCGUUGCUCGGAAUCACUGGGCGUAAAGCGCACGUAGGCGGCUUUUUAAGUCAGGGGUGAAAUCCUGGAGCUCAACUCCAGAACUGCCUUUGAUACUGAGAAGCUUGAGUCCGGGAGAGGUGAGUGGAACUGCGAGUGUAGAGGUGAAAUUCGUAGAUAUUCGCAAGAACACCAGUGGCGAAGGCGGCUCACUGGCCCGGUACUGACGCUGAGGUGCGAAA
rnacentral:rRNA from 1 species